rnacentral:tRNA from 1 species
GCCAGUCUGGCUCAGGUGGUAGAGCAUGCGACUCUUGAUCCUCAGGAUCGUGAGUUCAAGCCCCAUGUCAGGCA